UGGGGAAUAUUGCACAAUGGGCGCAAGCCUGAUGCAGCCAUGCCGCGUGUGUGAAGAAGGCCUUCGGGUUGUAAAGCACUUUCAGCGGGGAGGAAGGCGUUAAGGUUAAUAACCUUGGCGAUUGACGUUACCCGCAGAAGAAGCACCGGCUAACUCCGUGCCAGCAGCCGCGGUAAUACGGAGGGUGCAAGCGUUAAUCGGAAUUACUGGGCGUAAAGCGCACGCAGGCGGUCUGUCAAGUCGGAUGUGAAAUCCCCGGGCUUAACCUGGGAACUGCAUUCGAAACUGGCAGGCUAGAGUCUUGUAGAGGGGGGUAGAAUUCCAGGUGUAGCGGUGAAAUGCGUAGAGAUCUGGAGGAAUACCGGUGGCGAAGGCGGCCCCCUGGACAAAGACUGACGCUCAGGUGCGAAAGCGUGGGGAGCAAACAGG
rnacentral:rRNA from 1 species